rnacentral:lncRNA from 1 species
CGAUGGAUCGGGCGAGGGCGAUCUCUUCGGGGGAUUUGGCGGAGAGCACGAGGAGGGUGAGGGUGCGGUGCUCCCCCAUGGCGCCGGAGAGAGAGGAGGAGGGCCUGCUAUGCGGCGGAGGGCGGCGGAGGCGGAGGACGUGGCCGCUGCGGCGGCGGCGGCGGAGGAGAGGAGGAGGNAUCUCUUCGGGGGAUUUGGCGGAGAGCACGAGGAGGGUGAGGGUGCGGUGCUCCCCCAUGGCGCCGGAGAGAGAGGAGGAGGGCCUGCUAUGCGGAGGCGGAGGACGACGACGGCGGCCGCGGCCGCUGCGGCGGCGGCGGCGGAGGAGAGGAGGAGGCGGUGGGCGAGGGGCAUAGUUGUUAAUAAUUCAAACCGAGUCGAACGCACUCUCCUAGAUAUAUAUA